rnacentral:rRNA from 1 species
GACGACCGCUGGCGGCGUGCUUAACACAUGCAAGUCGAACGGAAAGGCCCUGCUUUUGUGGGGUGCUCGAGUGGCGAACGGGUGAGCAACACGUGAGUAACCUGCCCUUGACUUUGGGAUAACUUCAGGAAACUGGGGCUAAUACCGGAUAGGAGCUCCUGCUGCAUGGUGGGGGUUGGAAAGUUUCGGCGGUUGGGGAUGGACUCGCGGCUUAUCAGCUUGUUGGUGGGGUAGUGGCUUACCAAGGCUUUGACGGGUAGCCGGCCUGAGAGGGUGACCGGCCACAUUGGGACUGAGAUACGGCCCAGACUCCUACGGGAGGCAGCAGUGGGGAAUAUUGCACAAUGGGCGGAAGCCUGAUGCAGCAACGCCGCGUGCGGGAUGACGGCCUUCGGGUUGUAAACCGCUUUCGCCUGUGACGAAGCGUGAGUGACGGUAAUGGGUAAAGAAGCACCGGCUAACUACGUG